rnacentral:lncRNA from 1 species
CUUGAUGCCAGAAGCUCUGUGAUCAUGAGAUUUGUGUGUUCCAGAUGGAUCCAGGUGAAGUUUAUGCUCUUCCUGCUCAGGGAGUUCAGGAUGUCUGCGUGGGUCUGAGGGCUCUGUGCCCUGGAAGCUGUUUCUUUUACCUCGAUGUAGUCGACGUGGACACUCGGCAGCUGGUUGCCUCCUGGCUGCUGUGUAUCACAUGUCGACAGCCUGUAAUCUCCAAGGCGUUUGAAAUCAGCGUCCCUGUAGAUGGAGGGAAGGGCAGCAAUAAGAAAAUCAGUUUCACAAACCCCUACUCGUCCUCCAGAGUAUUCAAUCUGCGCACAGAUCGCCCAGACCUGCUUCAGUUUAAAGAGGAGCAAUUUCAGAUUGGGGGAGGGGAGCUCGACACCAUUGGCCUGCGCUUUGCUCCGAGUCAGAACCCUGGCAUGGAAGAGAUUCUCAUCUUUAUCAAUGACAAACAGGAUAAGAACGAGGGCACUUACUGUGUUAGGGUUCAGUACCGAUAACACAACACAUCACCCUGAAUUACAGCUGCUGCUUUUGCCCACAAACAGACCUUCAACCAGCAGAUCGAUGUGGAUUUACUCGCAUCAUGCACAUGUACUUUUGCUUACACAGUGUUAUAAGUUGAUCGAAAUAAGAUUGAAGUACAGACCAAACAUACUCUAUAUAUACAGUAGUCAACAUUUUAAGUGGAUCAAAACCUUUCAUCAAAGUUGUCCUAAAACCAAAAUGCGUUCUUGUCAGGACAACUUUAAUGAACUUUUUUGAUCCACUUCAAAUGUUGACUACUGUAAAUGCAGACAGUAAGUAAGGUUAACUCCAUCCAGCUCAUUGAAUACACUGAGUAAAGCGUCUCUCACGUGUGCUGGAGUAAAGCUACCCUGCGGUGCUGCAGGCUGAAACCGAGAAGAGCUUCUGAUGCUCAUAUCGGCGCUCUUGAUGUGUGUGUUUAUCAUUACGCUGAAUCCCCGCUGUGAUGUGUCAUUAGCAGCGGAGUGUGGAUGGCCACUUGCCCAGGACUUCAGCUCUAGAUCUUCAAACAGUGAGACGUGUUUGUAUGACCAGUCAUUUUAUUUUAUUAAGUGUUCAGAGUGUUACGUUUGCGCUCACUGACAAUAGAGUGCUUAAUUUGGGGGAAGAAAAUAGUC